AGUGAACGCUGGCGGUAGGCCUAACACAUGCAAGUCGAACGGCAGCACAGUAAGAGCUUGCUCUUACGGGUGGCGAGUGGCGGACGGGUGAGGAAUACAUCGGAAUCUACUUUUUCGUGGGGGAUAACGUAGGGAAACUUACGCUAAUACCGCAUACGACCUACGGGUGAAAGCAGGGGAUCUUCGGACCUUGCGCGAUUGAAUGAGCCGAUGUCGGAUUAGCUAGUUGGCGGGGUAAAGGCCCACCAAGGCGACGAUCCGUAGCUGGUCUGAGAGGAUGAACAGGCACAACUGGACUGGGGAACGGGCCAAACUCCUAAGGGAGGGAAGAGGUGGGGAUAAUGGAAAAUUGGCGGAAGGCCUAACCAAGCAAACCGGGGUGGGGGAAGAAGGCUUCCGGGUGGAAAAGCCUUUUGGUGGGAAAGAAAAGCAGGAAGGUAAAACCCCGGCUGUCUGACGGUAACCAAAGGAUAAGGAACGGGUAAAUUUGGU
rnacentral:rRNA from 1 species